GCCUCUAUGGCUCAGUUGGCAGAGCGUUGGUCUAGUAAACCAAAGGUCCGGAGUUCGACUCUCCGUGGAGGCA